AAGCCCCGCAGUUGCCAUGGAGACGCACCUCCCAGGCCUCGGGAAGCUGCCCCACCUCUCUGCCACCUUCUUCCAGACUGGUCAUGGCAGGCUGGCUCUGAUCUGGGUCCCAGACAGAGGGGAAUUGGGAUACCUACAAUGGAAUUUACGUCUCAAUUAACAGUUUGACCAAGGGUUUACAAGUGGUUGAAUGGAGUACAAAUGAAGAAUUCGAAGAAACGCAAAGAGAGAAAGUGGACCGCCCAUAGACACCUGCUCUAUGCAAACAAUGGACUCCUUCCCUUUAUCUUAAGGGGUCUUACGCUACCUGUUUCUACGUCCUUUGCUGGUUCCCAUGACAGAAAUACACACGUUUCAGACAAGAUUAAAAUACAAAAUCCCAACCAUAGCCUCAUCUUUGCACACACACUCUCUCAUUUCCUGUUGGUACCAGCACUUUUCUAUUUCGGUCCUGGGUAUGGCUCACUAACCUACAGCAGCUUCCUCAUUUGCACUUGACGUCUUCCCAAACAGCAUUUAAGGGACGGAGCACAGCCCAGAAGGCAGAAGCGAAGGACAACUGCCAACCCCAAGGGGGAGCAGAGAUCUGGGAAGGAAGACACUCAUGGUAAAGGUAAAACCAAAGAAAUCACACGCCUAGGAAAUAACAGAUUCUUCUGCAUAAAAUAGACUUGUGAGAAACUAAUUGCUACAGAUUUUAUCUCGCCCAAAAUAAACCGCAGGGAAGAUAUCAUGAGCAUACUGUAACGCAUAAAAUCUUGACACUCGUGCUAAAAUACUCAAAAUAUACCCUGGAAGGUUGGAGCUUGUCUUCAGUGUUGGGUUCUGCAAAUUAUUU
rnacentral:lncRNA from 1 species